GUACGUAGGGUGCAAGCGUUGUCCGGAAUUAUUGGGCGUAAAGAGCUCGUAGGCGGUUUGUCGCGUCUGCUGUGAAAACUCAGGGCUUAACCCUGAGCCUGCAGUGGGUACGGGCAGACUAGAGUGUGGUAGGGGAGAUCGGAAUUCCUGGUGUAGCGGUGGAAUGCGUAGAUAUCAGGAGGAACACCGGUGGUGUAGACGGCUAUCUGGACCGUAACUGACGCUGAGGCACGAAAGCGUGGGUAGCAAACAGG
rnacentral:rRNA from 1 species